GCCUGGCUGGCUCAAUCGGUAGAGCAUGAGACUCUUGAUUUCAGGGAUGUGGGUUUGAGCCCCACGCUUGGUG